UUGUUUUUCUCUUGAUUUUUAAGAGUAGUAUUUCUAAAGAAAAUUCUAAUGAAAAUAUAAAAACACAAAAUUUCUUUUUUGAAUUUUUGAGUUACACCACACCUUUCAAAUACAAAAUAAAAAGUACAAUAACUAAAACUUGAUAUUACUAUACAAAACUAAAAGUAAACAUAACAUAAACAAACAUACUUAAAAAAAAUAAAAAUAAAUCUCCUUAAGCAACUCCCGAAUGCAGUGGUCCUGGGGUAUCUGUCAUGCUCAAACUUCGGUAAGUAGAUCUACACCUAUAUAAGAAAACUUAAACCAACACUACGUGAGACAAUAACAUACCCUAUUAGAUACAUGCAAGACAUGGUUGUGAUUAUUUUUACAAAAUGACUUAUUUAGCCAAAAGUUGGCUAGAAGUGCAAAAUUUGGCUAAAAACCCGCAAAGCCAAGAACCUAAGAUUUACUUGGAAGGUCGGACCUUAUGUGGAUUGCUUACAUAUCACACCCAAAAGACGAGAAUCAGGUUUAUGUAGAUCGGGCAUAUUGGAUACGGGCGAGAAAUAAAAAAAAACUAAUUUAGGGAAAAACAUAUUUUGCUUUUUAUUGGAAAAUGAUGAAACAUGCGAAAUCUUUUUUGGAUUUUCUUUUUCUCUUAUUUUUUGAUUUUUUGAUUUUUCGAAAAAUGAUAAAAAGUGCAAAAUCUUUUUUUUUUGAAUUUUUCGUUUUUUGGGUCUUUUUCUUGAUAAAAAUGUGACAGAAAACAUAAUUGAGCCCUACUUGCUUUAUAUUCCACACUUCACCCUCUCUUUUUCAUUUUUUCUUUUUCUUUUUAUUUUUUUUCAUUUUUGCAUUUACCCUCAGCUAUCAUUGAUCCGCCAAAUGACCCUUUUACCCUUGAAUAUAUGUAAUAUGUAGCACAUAGGAUGUAUCAAGAUUAUCUGUUAUUUUGGGUAUACCUGUACUAGACGGACCAAACCCCUAUAUUGAGUUCCCUAAGUCAAGUUGAUGCAAACAAACGUUUCUACUAGGGAUCCGGCAUGAGGCAGAGUUUUUCUAGGUUUAACACUUGAGUUUAUCUAUUUUAGACUUGGCUUACCCGAGCAAACAGCAUACCGGGAAUGCAGAAUCUUCACCGACUUUGUAACUUGUCUGAACCUCGUUCUAAAAUUGGAUAAGACUCUAGACAGAAGAGAAGCCACACGAAGUGCACCCUUCUCCAUGAUUUAGAAGACUCGGAGAGAGUAGGGAUUCGUAACAAUUUGUAUACAGUUCACUAAUAUCAAAGGGUAAAAAGCAACAUUUAGCAUAUUAGGCCCAGAUAUGUGAAUAAAAUCACAUAAUAAAUAAAUCCAAAUAUAACAAUUCAUCUAAGUUCGAAUUUCUUGAACCCUGAACCAGAGAUUCUGGGUUCGACCCCCAGCAGGGUCUCCAGAGUUGCCACACCUCUUUUUCCACUACACCCCCGCCAAGGAAUUAUAAAAGGGAGUUUUUCCAAUUAAAGGACAGUCAAAACGUGAUUAUUUCUAUUAAAGAUUCAGAGUCGCCACUUGUGAUAAUUAAGGGUGUCCCAAGUCCCCGGUUCAAAUCCCGAAUCGAGGAAAAGAUUGACUCUGUUUUACAAUCCGCGAACUGAAAAUUCGGGUAAGGGAUUCUAUUAAUCCGGGGGAAGGUGUUAGACAUUACGGUGUUCUGUGAUUCUAGCACAGUCGUUCAACUGUUAUUAUUAUCCUAUUGUCUGAUUUUAUUUUAGUUUGAACCUAUGUUCAUUUUUAACUUUUGAAAAUCGCUUUUACUUAUUUAAGUAAUUAGUUCAAGGUUAUUAAAAAAUGAAUCGCAAACCAUGUCACAUGAAAUGCACCAGUGGUUCACGAUACGCUCUAUUUAACCUUGUUGGAAAUUGGAGUCGGGUCACAUGAAAUAUACACUCGAGCCCCUUUAAUCUAAUUUUGACGUAGUUCAGUUAAUGAAUAGCAACCCAACUUCUAUAUGUGACAAAAUCAUGUUCAGCUAUAACCAAUUCGAGUAAACACAAAAGCCGAUAACUAAAUGAACAAAUUCAAAAAACUAUAAAAAAAAAAUCAACUACACAUACGAAGGGACAAACAGAUCCUAAACAUGAAGGCUAGCGUAUCCAUGAACAAAACAUGAAAUGCAGCAAAUAGCCACUAACCAAAAACCACAAGAAUUCAAAGUAAAAAAAACUUAUCACAUUAUUUUAACCAUACCGGUGACAGAAGUAACGUGCAAUUGUAAAGGAGUUAAUGAAUUUACGUGGAUAGUAAAAAAGGUUGCCACUGCCAAAAUAAUUGGUCACUUUUUAACCUUUCAUUACACAAAUUAAGCUGAAAACAAGUAAUAGUAGAAACAAAAACAAUAACAUAUAUAAGGAUUGCUAUCCUAAGGACCGAAAUAAUGCAUUUGAUAGGUAUUCAAUCUAUUUUUGGCUACUACACAGUACGUAAGUCACAUUUAUGAGUACCAGAUUCAUCCAGCUUCAAUCAAGUACGAAAAACGGGCAAACCAAAUCGGAAUUUCAUUCAUAGCAUUGGGAAAACAGAUGUUGCAAAUAAAAGUUUAGGAUUAGACCUUUCAUAGCUGCAAUAUGUUUUUGAAAUAAUGAACAAGGAAAAAUCCGGCCAGAGCUAAACUGUUGACGUCCUUGGCGCACCGGACCUCGACGAACUUGAAACUUCAAUACUUGCAUCCGAACAGAUCUCACAAGGGAGCUCCAAAAUGGACUCAACCUCAAAAGAGACCUCGAGCGGAUGGUGGUUUUUAGUCGAGCUCGAAACAGCGAAAACUCAAACGAAUUCCAUAGUAAAACGCAAAUAGAAAUCAGGAAGAAGACGACUUAAACUUAUUUCUUUUAUUCGAUUUUCUGGUACUUUACACACUCCGUUUAGUUUCUUUUUUUUUUGUUCCUGUAUGUGAGUGUGUUUGGUUGAUGUUCCGGCGUGGAUCUAGUUAGGGAGAUGGCAGAGGCGGCUCGGAGAUGAGGUGAAGAAGAAUGUGUCUCGUGUGUUUUUGGUCUUGCGGAGAGGAGGUGAUGGAUUCCCUUCGUUGGUUCUGUUAGUCUGUAAAAGAUCACGUUCAGGGGGAUUUUAUGGUAAUAAAAAUGGCGGAUUCGUCUCUUCUUUUCCGCUGAAGAAGAUGAAGCCGGGGGUGGGGGGUCUGUAUGAGAAUUGCGGCGCGUUUUUUGGAGAGUGUCCCUUAAUUCUUAGGCGUUAUUUUUUGUAUCCUCUUACUGCACAGCCUAGGGUUAGGGUGUAUUUUUAAGUAUUUUGUAAAUUAGUUAUUAG
rnacentral:lncRNA from 1 species